rnacentral:rRNA from 1 species
GAUGAACGCUGGCGGCGUGCCUAAUACAUGCAAGUCGAGCGAACGGACGAGAAGCUUGCUUCUCUGAUGUUAGCGGCGGACGGGUGAGUAACACGUGGAUAACCUACCUAUAAGACUGGGAUAACUUCGGGAAACCGGAGCUAAUACCGGAUAAUAUUUUGAACCGCAUGGUUCAAAAGUGAAAGACGGUCUUGCUGUCACUUAUAGAUGGAUCCGCGCUGCAUUAGCUAGUUGGUAAGGUAACGGCUUACCAAGGCAACGAUGCAUAACCGACCUGAGAGAGUGUUCGGCCGCACUGGAGCUGGGCCACGGUCCAUAGGCCUACGAUACGCAGCAGUCUGGUACCGUCCGCAACGGGGGGAAGCCUUACGGAGCAACGCCGCGUGAGUGGUGGAGGUCUUCGGAUCGUGAAGCUCUGUUAUUAGGGAAGAACAUAUGUGUAAGUAACUGUGCACAUCUUGACGGUACCUAGUCAAAAAGCCACGGCUAACUACGUG